UACGUAGGGUGCAAGCGUUGUCCGGAAUUAUUGGGCGUAAAGGGCUCGUAGGCGGUUUGUCGCGUCGGGAGUGAAAACUCAGGGCUUAACCCUGAGCCUGCCUCCGAUACGGGCAGACUAGAGGUAUGCAGGGGAGAAUGGAAUUCCUGGUGUAGCGGUGAAAUGCGCAGAUAUCAGGAGGAACACCGGUGGCGAAGGCGGUUCUCUGGGCAUUACCUGACGCUGAGGAGCGAAAGUGUGGGGAGCGAACAGG
rnacentral:rRNA from 1 species